AGUGAACGCUGGCGGCGUGCCUAAUACAUGCAAGUCGAACGGAGAUUAAGUAGCUUGCUAUUUAAUCUUAGUGGCGCACGGGUGAGUAAUAUAUAGCUAACUUGCCCAUUACUAAGGGACAACAGUUGGAAACGACUGCUAAUACCUUAUACACCGUCUCUAUAUAAGUAGAUACGGGAAAGUUUUUCGGUAAUGGAUAGGGCUAUAUCGUAUCAGCUAGUUGGUAAGGUAAUGGCUUACCAAGGCUAUGACGCGUAACUGGUCUGAGAGGAUGAUCAGUCACACUGUAACUGAGACACGGUCCAGACUCGUACGGGAGGCAGCAGUAGGGAAUAUUGCUCAAUGGGGGAAACCCUGAAGCAGCAACGCCGCGUGGAGGAGGACACUUGUCGGAGAGUAAACUCCUUUUCUUGGGAAAGAAUUAUGACGGUACCCAAGGAAUAAGCACCGGCUAACUCCGUG
rnacentral:rRNA from 1 species